rnacentral:rRNA from 1 species
AGCAGCCGCGGUAAUUCCAGCUCCAAUAGCGUAUAUUAAAGUUGUUGCAGUUAAAAAGCUCGUAGUUGAAUUUCGGGAUCAAUUUGUUGGUCGUGCCUCGGUACGUACUGGCAUUAUUGGUUUCUACCUUCUGAAGAACCUUGAUGUCAUUAAUUUGGUGUCUUGGGGAAUCAGGACUGUUACUUUGAAAAAAUUAGAGUGUUUAAAGCAGGCAUACGCUUGAAUACAUUAGCAUGGAA